UACGAAGGGUGCUAGCGUUGUUCGGAAUCACUGGGCGUAAAGCGCGCGUAGGCGGCUUAGCAAGUCAGAGGUGAAAGCCUGGAGCUCAACUCCAGAAUUGCCUUUGAAACUGCUAAGCUGGAGUAUCGGAGGGAUUGCGGAAUUGCUAAUGUGAGAGGUGAAAUUCGUAGAUAUUAGCAGGAACACCGGUGACGAGGACGGC
rnacentral:rRNA from 1 species